rnacentral:pre_miRNA from 1 species
UUUACUCAAAUUUGUAUGGAGUAGGAACGUUUGCCUAUGUUUGCCGCUAGGGGCGCUGUUCCAACUCCAUACAAAUUUGAGUAA